rnacentral:ncRNA from 1 species
UGCGAUGAGUCGAGUAGCGGCGCAGUAAUGCGCCAACGCUGCCAGGAUAUCAGCCCUUGAAUGGGCACUGCCGGAUUGCAGGAUAUUUCCAGUUAGGGUUGUGGAGCCC